AUUGAACGCUGGCGGAAUGCUUUACACAUGCAAGUCGAACGGCAGCACGGACUUCGGUCUGGCGGCGAGUGGCGAACGGGUGAGUAAUGUAUCGGAACGUGCCCAGUCGUGGGGGAUAACGUAGUGAAAAUUACGCUAAUACCGCAUACGAUCUAUGGAUGAAAGCGGGGGAUCGCAAGACCUCGCGCGAUUGGAGCGGCCGAUAUCAGAUUAGGUAGUUGGUGGGGUAAAGGCCCACCAAGCCAACGAUCUGUAGCUGUUCUGAGCGGACGGCCCGCCACACUGGGACUGAGACACGGUCCAGACUCCUACGGGAGGCAGCAGGGGGGAAUUUUGGACAAUGGGCGGAAGCCUGAUCCAGCCAUUCCGCGUGCAGGAUGAAGGCCCUCGGGUUGUAAGCUGCUUUUGUACGGAACAAAAAGGUUUCUACUAAUACUAGGAGCUCAUGACGGUACUGUAAGAAUAAGCACCGGCUAACUACGUGCCAGCCGCCGCAGUAA
rnacentral:rRNA from 1 species